GAUGAACGCUGGCGGCGUGCCUAAUACAUGCAAGUCGAGCGAACAGAUGAGGAGCUUGCUCCUCUGGCGUUAGCGGCGGACGGGUGAGUAACACGUGGAUAACCUACCUAUAAGACUGGGAUAACUUCGGGAAACCGGAGCUAAUACCGGAUAAUAUAUUGAACCGCAUGGUUCAAUAGUGAAAGACGGUUUUGCUGUCACUUAUAGAUGGAUCCGCGCCGCAUUAGCUAGUUGGUAAGGUAACGGCUUACCAAGGCAACGAUGCGUAGCCGACCUGAGAGGGUGAUCGGCCAUACUGGAACUGAGACACGGUCCAGACUCCUACGGGAGGCAGCAGUAGGGAAUCUUCCGCAAUGGGCGAAAGCCUGACGGAGCAACGCCGCGUGAGUGAUGAAGGUCUUCGGAUCGUAAAACUCUGUUAUUAGGGAAGAACAAAUGUGUAAGUAACUAUGCACGUCUUGACGGUACCUAAUCAGAAAGCCACGGCUAACUACGUG
rnacentral:rRNA from 1 species